GUGUUGUACGAAAGGAGGAAGUUAGCAUCCGCCUUGACAAGAGUGGAAGAAGCCCUCAAGCCUAACAACAUGCCUAUUAUAGUUAAGGUGCUGACACUUGCUUCGUGGCAUCUAACCAUUAUUUAAG
ensembl:snRNA